AGUCUUUAGAAUGAAAGGGCUCACCAAGUACUUAACACAAUAAAUGGAGAAAAAAUACCUUAAAUGGGCAAAAAUGGAUACAAUAAUGCUUCCAAUCUUUUUUUUUUUUUUUUUUUGAGAUGGAGUCUCGCUCUGUUGCCCACGCUGGAGUGCAGUGGCGUGAUUUCAGCUCAUUGCAAGGUCUACCUCCCGGGUUCAGGCCAUUCUCCUGCCUCAGCCUCCCGAGUAGCUGGGACUCCAGGCGCCCGCCACCACACCCGGCUAAUUUUUUUGCAUUUUUAGUAGAGAUGGGGUUUCACCGUGUUGGCCAGGAUGGUCUCGAUCUCCUGACCUUGUGAUCCGCCCUCCUUGGCCUCCUAAAGCACUGGGAUUACAGGCAUAAGCCACCGCAUCUGACCUCAUGCCCAGAUAAUUUUUGUAUUUUUACUAGAGAUGGGGUUUCGCCAUGUUGGUCAGUCUGGUCUCAAACUGCUGGCCUCAGAUAAUCGAACCGCCUUGGCCUCCCAAAGUGCUGGGAUUACAGGCAUGAGCCACUGCACCCGGCCUUCCCCAAGUUUUAAUCAACUCUUUGUAAUUCUUGCUUUUCCAGAUUCACAAAGCUAAGAACCAGUCAAAGCUAAGAACUGUUCUAUAGUGGAAAUACUAACACACUGUCAGCGUGUGAAUCCCUGCCCAAGGGGCCAGCCUUUCUCUCUUACGUCUCUCUUUAAAUGCCACAUAAUAUUUUCAAAUGCAACAUUAUCUUUAACAUGGCUGCUUACCUAAUCUUACAAUAUAAGAUGAAAUAUGAAAAUGUAUUCUACCACUCUAAAAAUCACUUACCAUAUUUGUUAGUAUAACAACAUACAUUUUAAAAAACAUACUUGUUAUCAAGGUAUUCAUAUAGUUCUUCAGAAAUUAUUGCAGUGCCUACUGUAAAGUAUGACAAAUUUUAUUCACUGUAAAAGGUGACAAUGUAUAAAAAUAUGCAAGUUUGGCCAAGUACGGUGGCUCACGCCUGUAAUCCCAGCACUUUGGGAGGCCAAGGCGGGUGGAUCAUGAGGUCAGGAGUUCAAGACUAGCCUGGCCAAAAUAGUGAAACCCCAUCUCUACUAAAAAUACAAAAAAAAUUAGCUGGGCGUGGUCGCAGGCACCUGUAGUCCCAGCUACUCAGGAGGCUGAGGCAAGGGAAUCGCUUGAACCCGGUAGGCAGAGGUUGCAGUGGGCCAAGAUCGUGCCCCUGCACUCCAGCCUAGGUGACACAGUGAGACUCUGCCUCAAAAAAAAAAAAAAAGUGAAAGUUUAUUAGACUUGGCUUUCUAAGGUAACCCUCUGCAUGCAGAGAACUAAAUGGAUAAAGUAUGGUGCUAAUAUUUAGGAUGCUAUAUUUUCUAUAUUACAACUUACACAGAGCUGGCACACCAGAGCAGUGGCUCUAGAGGCAGGCAGACAGAGUUUAAAUAUCUCAGUUCUGCCACUGUCAGCCAAGAACUUUGCAUCAAUAUGCCAUCUAUAAAACUGGGAAAAUAGCAACUACUUCACAGAAUUGUGAAGAAUCAAAAUAUGAAUAUGCCUAAUGUAUUUUAUAAUUGGCAUCUACUGGUUGAGGAUCCUAUAUCCAAAAUGCUUGGGGUCAAAAGUGUUUGGGAUUUUGGAGUAUUUGCAUAUAUAUGAGAUAUCUUAGGGAUGGGACCCAAGUCUAAACGUAAACUCCUGUUUGUUGCAGCACUGUUUACAAUAGCUAAGAUUUGGAAGCCACCUAAGUGCUCACCAACUGAUGAUGGAUAAAGAAAAUGUGGUACAUAUACACAAUGGAGUACUAUUCAGUCAUUAAAAAAGAAUGAGAUCCAGUCGUUUGCAACAAAAUGGAUGAAACUGGAGAUCAUUAUGUUAAGUGAAGUAAGCCAGGCACAGGAAGACAAACACCACGUUUUCACUUAUCUGUGGGAUCUAAAAACUAAUUGAACUCAUGGAUAUAGAGAGUAGAAAGAUGGUUAGCA
rnacentral:lncRNA from 10 species